CUUCAUUUGGUUUUGGUGUAAAGGAAAGCUGGUAGAUUGUGGAGUUGAUGUCUUUGCUUGUGGAUUGAAGAGUUAUUGAGAAGAGCAGGUACUUGAAGUUUUGCUUUAGUACAAGAGCUCAUUGCCAUUGGUGAAAAACAGGUUGAACUUUUUCUGUUGUGUUUUCCUAUCAUAACAUUUUAAAUUCAGGCAUAGCCGUAUUGAUUGCUUUGCAUGAAUUGUUCCUUGAAAUUGUGAAUGAUUGUGAUAGGACAGUCAUGCCGUGGCUUUGGAUUGCGAUACAAUCAUGGACACUUUUUACCUUGAUGUCAUGUCAUACUCUUCAGUAAAAUAUAUAGUCCUAGUUUUGGUUUCAAUGUUGUCCUUCAUUGUGUUAAUGGAUAACCUUAGGUAAAGCUUUAGAAUAAGGAAUUGGUUACUCAAUUGGUGUAAAACAUAGCUUAGAAAUUUAGCUUUAAAAGAAUUCUGAGGUUAAAAGAUUACUUUCAUUUAUUUCAUUCUUAAUUGAUGUAAAACACAAGGAGAAUGAAUUACUUUCAUUCUUGUAGAAACAAUUUUCUGUAUUGAAAACAAUUGUGUCAACAACAAACAUGAGUAAAUCCAUUACACUAAAAGGCUAAGAGUGAUACCUGCAAGUAGGCCUCUAAAGAGAUCAUCAACAUCAAAUAGGUACACUGCAAUAAGGAGAAUCUGAAAUCUCUAUCAGGUGAAGGAAAUUAUCACGGAUGGGAAAGGAAAAGCCUCAACAAUAUGUAGUGUGAAUAGGGAAAUAGCAGAGGUGUUCACAUAGCAACAGUGGUUCGAUAUCUAGUAGGAUGUUCCUAAGCAUCAUUCUGUCAAAGUGUAUUAUUAGGACAUAUGCUCUUAGGUUGAGAUGGAAAAAAAUGAAAUUAAGAGAUGAGAAUGUAGUAGUUCAAAUAAUAUAGUUGCUGAAAAGAAAAAUUCCACAAAAAACCUCACACUUUGACAAUUAAAAAUACACUAAUAUUGUAAGUUUUUAAUAAUUUAUUUGUAGUGUAGACAUAUCUGACUUUACUAAGUUCCUUAAGACUCAUUU
rnacentral:sRNA from 1 species